AUUAGAAGAAAAUUAUAUCCUGGUGCAAUAAAAAAGCUACUCAUCAACAUUUGGGAAGAAGUUAGUUCUACAGGAGACAUUCAUGUGUUGCAGACACUUUGGAGAAGGUUCCGGACACCCCAAAUCCCAAGUGUUGUCCCAAAACUUGAAUGCUAUCGAAGGAGAAGGAAAUCACUUGGAUACCGUGCUCAGAGGAUGGAACCACUCUGUGAUCAUCUUGUGAAAAUCAAGUUAAUCAACUGUCCUGGGGCCAGCCACUUGGUACAGAAAUCUGCCCUGAGACUGAUAGGCAGCAGGCUCCCCACUGGGGCCAGAUGGGAGAUCUCAUGAAUUACAGUUCACCAAUACAUUUUUGGAUGGCUUUUAUAUGAUAAAAACCUUCAUUCUAUUUAUAAUGUCUAAUAAUGAAGCACUGUAAAUGAAUUAAUGAAAACACAUGUAUUGACAUCUGUAAUCUCUUAGUGUUCUUGGAACAAAUGGAAUCAAUUUCUUUUUUGGCUGUUAAAAUCUUAAAUUAACCAAAUAUACAUAAAGGUGUGAAAUUCUCACGGCUAUUUCUUUCCCUUUUAUACAAUGGGUUUUGAGCCUUAUGAAAGCAUUUAGCCAUUCAAAAGAAUGUUCUUUUGAAAGAAGGAUGCAUUUCAUUGCAACAUUUUUUUUAAAACAAAAUAUUGGUUUUGCAUGUCCUGUAAAAAUUUUGGUUAACCUCUUUUCUUUGUACAAAGGCUCAUGGGCCCAUUGCCAUUUGAGUCUUCCAUCCCAUCUCAUUUACAAUAUAACCUUCACAGAAAAGAUCACCACAAUGCUAUUUAAUUAUUUAAAGUUGGUAAGAAUUACUAUGUUAAGUGGUUAAUGGACUACUUGGAAAAUAAUUUGGUAACUGUAAGUUUCUCUUCUAAACACUAUGCUGUAAUUUGCUCUGCUAUUUACCAAUGUAAUUAGACUAUUAAAACAUUUUUAUUCCUCUUUA